UCUCUGUGAUGAUGAAAACAGAUGACGAGUCCGAUGCAAUCCAUUCUAUAAACCAUGUGGACAAUCGAGGCAUUUGUCUGAGAGAA
rfam:Triticum aestivum genome assembly, contig: Triticum_aestivum_CS42_TGACv1_scaffold_404767_5BL